rnacentral:rRNA from 1 species
UGGGGAAUAUUGGACAAUGGGGGAAACCCUGAUCCAGCAAUGCCGCGUGAGUGAAGAAGGCCUUAGGGUUGUAAAGCUCUUUCAGCGGGGAAGAUGAUGACGGUACCCGCAGAAGAAGCCCCGGCUAACUCCGUGCCAGCAGCCGCGGUAAUACGGAGGGGGCUAGCGUUGUUCGGAAUUACUGGGCGUAAAGCGCACGUAGGCGGUGGCGCAUGUCAGAUGUGAAAGCCCUGGGCUUAACCUAGGAAUUGCAUUUGAAACUGCGUCGCUAGAGGCCGGAAGAGGGUAGUGGAAUUCCCAGUGUAGAGGUGAAAUUCGUAGAUAUUGGGAAGAACACCGGUGGCGAAGGCGGCUACCUGGUCCGGUUCUGACGCUGAGGUGCGAAAGCGUGGGGAGCAAACAGG